rnacentral:lncRNA from 1 species
GGAGAGAAAAGGAAAAUGGCAGCACCCUUCCUUACCGAGUUGUUUCCAAAGGCUCCUGCCGGGGUUUUCCCAGACCCGCUGUACGUUCACUGAUUCAUCCUCUCCAUUGCCGAGACACCUAAACGUUUCCAAUGGAAGGCAAGAAACCAGCUCAAGCCAACUGGGAAUGUAAACCGCACUGACCAAGGAAAGUUGGGGAAAUUGCCAGUGAAUGCAGAAAAAAAUAGAAAAGGAAGGAAGAUGUGGAAAGCAGGAGGUUUAAAUGAGAAGUGAAUGUUUUAAGUGGAGGAGUGAGAGGUACGUUGAACUUGGAAAUAUGACCACAGCAGCAGCAGAGCUGUG